rnacentral:rRNA from 1 species
AGCGUAGACGGCACGGCAAGCCAGAUGUGAAAGCCCGGGGCUCAACCCCGGGACUGCAUUUGGAACUGCUGAGCUAGAGUGUCGGAGAGGCAAGUGGAAUUCCUAGUGUAGCGGUGAAAUGCGUAGAUAUUAGGAGGAACACCAGUGGCGAAGGCGGCUUGCUGGACGAUGACUGACGUUGUAGGACUCGAAAGGCGUGGGAAGGCAAACA